UCUGGCUGUAUUAUACAGCACUGAAACACUAACACAUCUCUCUAUUGUGAAAGGAAACAUAGGCUCCUGUGCUGUGAAGAGGAAAAGAGUUUUAAAAUGUUACUCCCAAAAUUUUUGCUGCAAUGGAAUGGCCCAGACAGUGUCUGUUUCUCUCUGUACAUCUUUGAAUGUGAACAUUCUACAGCAGGAAGCUCAGAAGGGCUUAGAAUGCAGCCAUGUGUUGCCCUAUGCAGAGAGGAGCAGGAAGGUUUUGUAAUUGAUGCUAAUGGGAUAUGUUGCAUCUGUAAGUGUAAAUAAGGACUCAUAUAGACUCUCUGCUAGCUAGCGUAUACUGGGUUAUGCAACCCCCCCCCCGAUGCUUUAUGAGAAUUGGCUUAUGAGUAUCAAUAUGCAUAAUUCAAAGAUGCUUUGAAUAACUCAUGUAAUCUAUUUUAAUGUCACAGGCUGCUAGAUCUGUAUAUCCUAUUUUUGUGUAUGUAUCAUUCUUGAAUGUAAAGGUAGAAAUAUGAAGAACCACCAUGAAGGUAAAACCGAAGCAGAGAGGCCAGAUGACUUAUAGUCAGAAAAAAGAAACCAUUUGUUCUCGGCAUUGACCACAGGAUAGUCCACCUCUCCCCUUCGGCCUAGAAGGAUUUCAAUUCUGCCCUGAUCCAAACAAAAAAGCCAGAUACCUUAUACGUUUAGUAAAAUCAUUUUUAUGUACACUGAUGAAUAAUAUUUACAAUCUAAUACUGAUCCAAAAUGAACUAAAAUAUUACAGAUAGCACUGAACAGGAGAAAUGAAAAUAUUCUUAAUACACGGAACUUAAACAUAGCAUAUGAAGGGCUCCAAGAAAGAGUUCCAAAGGAUAAACGAGGUAAUGAUAUCAAAACUUACAUCUUGCUAUUUCCACACCAAUGCGGUCUCUUUUUAGAAAAGUUAUUCUAAUCUUUUUUUUUUUUAAUAGCCC